AACUCCAUAAGGAAGGAAUCCUUAUUGUCCCCAUCUUAAAGACCUCCGAAACGAAACCAGAGAUACUGAAUGAUUUGCCUGGGAUGACUCCGCUACCACUUGGCACAGCCACGGUGCAAACCCAGUUGGGCUGGCACUGAACACCCAGACUGUAGAUCCCUCCUGCCUGACUCAAGAGCCUCUGUCUAUAUGGAAGCAAUCAACUUAAGGUCACAAGAGGCCCAUUUCAGAAUGGGUUCUGUCCCACACUCUGGAGGAAGGAAUGCUGUAUGAGGAGGCCUAGAAGAAUCUGAACAGACAGGCUUUACUGGAGUUCCCCACUCGGCCCGUUAGUAUUAGACCAGAUCUUUUUGUCCAGUCACAUUUCUACGUGGUUGCCUAUCAAAGAAGUCUCUAUAAAAAGUCCAAGAGAACAGGGUUUGGGGAGCUUCCAGGAGGCAGGAAGGUGAACAAGAAUUCAUCCACAUGCCAGACAGCUGGUGCAUCCCAAAUCCAUGGAGACAGAAGCUCCUGCACUCAGACCCUUCCAGACCUCACCCUACAUGUUUCUUCAUCUGGCUGUGUAUUUGUAUCCUUUGAAAUAUCCUUUGUAAUAAACUGUUAAACAUAAGUUCUGUGAGUCACUCUAGCAAAUUCACUAAGCCCAAGGAA
rnacentral:lncRNA from 1 species